CCGAAAAGGGAUAAGAGUUUGUCAAUUCCAAGUAAAAAAAAGAAAAAAAGAAAAAAAGCAGUUUGUCAAUUACUCAAUUUAUUUAUUAUUUAAGUUUCAGGUGCUGGGAAAUGACGAAUCUUGUGUGAUUCAAUGAUCAAUAUUCUAUACAAAUGAAAUGAAAUGCCGUUGGUGUCAUCAAAAAUUUAAAGUGAGUAAAGAUGAAAUCAUUAACAAUAGCAUAUGCGUGGUUUCAUCUCCGAUGUAGAGAGCUUUUUGCGUUUUAGGUCGGCACACAUCCAAGGUGGACGUUCUCCUCAGGUAGGGUGCAUGUGCUCCUCUCUGCUUUCGCCAUCAACUGUCUUUUUUCGCGAUUCCUUCACCUUCUGUUUCGUCCGUCGCAAGUUAGGGAUUUUUUCAUAGAGUCUCAAGUUGAAGAUCUGCAAUCAAUCAAUCAGGUUUUACUGUCUAGCGUUUGUGAAUCUAGGAUUUGUGAAUCGUCUAUCUGGGUAUGGAGUUUCUACCUAAUUUACUUCUUAAGUGGUGAUGUGAUUGGCAGAGUUUGUCCAGCAAACUGUUGCAUAGAUAUAAAGCUGUUUGCCCUGCAUUUAAUAGCUUCAUUGAGAAAAGAAUGGGCUUUGUGACACUAAGAUGGCAUCACGGUACUGUUUGUCUAACUAGCAAAUCCCCUCCUUCAAAGAGAAAUCCAUGGAGCAGGUUAUCUUCCCUUGAAAAUGUCUUCUGCACACCUAAUCAUGUUCUACCAUAUAUUCUUCAUUGAAAAUGUGGGAAUCCUUAUCAAGAUUUUCAUCGUGUGAUUAGUUCUCUCUAUGCCAUUGAAUGGAGAUGCAUAUGGAUUGGGAUUUUCUUUUCCCUCCAUUUCCAUGUUCAAUUUGAUUUCAAAAAGGUGAGUCUUGUGCCCUAAAUUUUUCUAUAAAAGGAUGGUUGGUGAACCACAUUCAAUACACAGGCAUUCUGCUGUCUUCUAUUUUCUCCUAGGCUGUGUUUAUUCCAUAUUUUCUGUGUUUAUAUCUUCAUCUAUUUGAUAUGAUUUCUAAGAUGCAUCCUCCUAGAGAGGCUUGGAAGCUGAAAGUUAGGGUUAUAAGUCUUUGGGUUGUGCCCUCUUUUGGUAACCAUGAGGUUCCUAACUCAAUGGAGAUUAUUCUCCUUGAUGAGCAUGUUAGUCCCUAUUAGCUACUGUUUUAAAUAUGGUAUUAGUUGUUCUUUUUAAGUUUUCAACUUAAAAUUAUGUUUUUCACUAAUCUGAUUUUAUUUUUUUGUUGCAUUUUCAGUGUGAAAAAAUUCAAGUUACAGUUAAGAAACAACUUCUUAAUAUGUUUAGGGAUCAUAUAAUUGAAGGUCAAGUUUAUAGAAUGGCAUACUUUACUGAUAUGUCAAAUCAUGGUAGUUAUAGAACAACUUCUCAUGAAUUCGAAUUGAUUUUCCUUCAUCGAACCACUGUUGUGGCUGUUGAUGAAGAUGUUAUCCCAAAGACUUGUUUCAACAUGUUUCUUUUUUCUGACCUACUGAACAUGACCAAAAUUAUUAUUUUUUGCUUGAUGUCACUGGUCUUUUAACCUCGGUGAGAGAAGAGAAAGAAUAUGCAAAAGAGGGAAAAAUCGUGAAAAUAAUUGUGCUGGAAUUCACUUUAAAAGAGUAUGUUGAUUCAGUCAUUUAUGGUGGUUUUCUUUUAUCUUUGAAUCAUCUUUUUUUCUAUUUUUUGUUUCAUUCUUUUUCAUCUUUUGAGUUUCAGUCUUACAAUGUGUUGUGCAUUGUCUGGGGACUAUGUUAAUCAAGUAAAUCAUUUCCUAGCCUCUGCCUAUGUGGAGCAACCUGUUGUUGUUAUUAAACUUGCGAAAGUCAAGUUCUUUAGGAGUACAUUGUUUAAUUUCUGUACAUUUUCUUAUUGUUACUCUAAGUGUUGUCUCCCAUGAACUUUGUUAUACUAUUUUGGUAUUGCUGUGUAGGUCAAGUAGGUCUCCAAAAUGUGAUGUAUGCCACUCAAAUGUUAUUUAAUACUGAUCUUUUUGAAGUUAUUGAAUUCAAGCAGAGGUUAGUAUUUCGCUGUUUUUUUUUUCUAUUCUUGAGAUACAGCCAAUCUAGAGUAAUAAGUACAUGUAUUUGCAUCAUUGAGCAAGGUGUCAAUGGUACCUAGCCACUGUUUAUUGCAGAUGAGGGUAAAGUUGUUUUCUUGAAAGAUAAUUUCAUGCGCUUAAUUAGAAGAUGCACUAUUGAAGAGCUCCAAACAUAAUAAUGAGGUUGGCAUUUAUUGAGUUAGUUUAUUUUAUUCACCAAUGAACAGAGAAAAAAGCAAAAAACAAGUUUCAGAUCUGUUCUUUUAUGAAUAUUGUUAACAAAUUUUAAAAUGUCUCUUGCCUAAGAGGGUUUUUUUUAUCAUUUUCGAUACAAUCAAAGGUAUUGUUGAAGAUGAAAGUUGGUGGUAUUCUGUUUGUGUGUGUGAAAAAGAUAUUUAUCCUUAAAAUGGUGUAUACUACUGUGAUUUUUGUGUGAAGCAUAUAACUAAUGUCAUUCCGAGGUAAAAAAAUUUUGUUCAAAAUGUUUUUUCAUUUUGUGUUAUGGAUCUUUUAUAAGAAUAAUGUUUCAUGUUAUUAUUCAUUUUAAAAAAUUAUUUUUUUUAUUAUGCAGAUUUAAAAUUAAAAUAACACUUGAAGAUCAUAGUGGGGAGGGUAUUUUCGUUCUCUUUUAUCGUGAAGCAUCUUAUUUGUUUAAGAAAUCAUGCACUGACUUGUUUACUGAGGUUCAAAACGAUGCAAGUGUAUGUUCUUAGUUUUUUUGUGUGUGUUGUUCACUUUAUGUAGUUCAUUUUUUAUAGCUAUAUUCUUUAUUUUGGUUGAUAUGUGUUACUCAAUAUGUUUAUUUCUUAUCUAUUACUUUGAAAAUAGCUUAUACGUGGGGAUACUUAUCUUCCCAUAUUCCAAGGGUUCAUUGGAAAAAAAUUGCUGCUGAAAAUUGAUACCAAAGGUGUUGGACUUGAUAAAUUUUUUGGCACUUUUCGAGUUAGGAGAGUAUGUGAUGAUCUCACCAUUAUUGUUAUGCUUGAACUUCCUGAUUAUGAUGCUGUUGAUAAGUCUACUCCAAAAAAAGUUACAUAUACAUAUAAGUAUUUUUAGAUUGUGUAAAUUCAUGCUUUUUUUUAUUUUUUGUAUUGUGAGUUAAAAAAAUUUGUGCCAUGUGAAAAAGGGAAUACUGAUAUUAAGAAGAAGUCAUCAAGCAUUUCUCUCAAAAGUGACAAUGUUGCUGCUGAGUCUUAUGGGGUUUUAUCUAAAUCCUUAGUUCUUAUAGAUUUUUUGGCUGAAAAAUAGUUUGAUGUUUUUGGAGGGAUUGAGGUUACUGCAUUAAUUAAUGAUGAAAAUAGAAAAGCUGAGAAAAUACCCGAGAAUGAGAAAAUACCCGAGAGUAAUACCCUUAGUGAUGACUUUUCCUUUCCUAUGUGUGCCGUUUCUAAAUGGAUUUUCAUUGAUUGAGUCAUUUUCAUACCUUUUGUUAAUUCCUGUAUCAUAGGAGGUGUUCUUCCAAGUUCUAAAUGCAUGUUCUCACUAUGGAGAGAAGGUUAUUGAUGAAGACCAUUAGCCGCCUCAUCAAAUUGGGGAUUUAAAUUCCUCUUGCCCUUGGAAGUGACAACAUGAUCUUCACAAAUAACUUUCUCUCUAUAGUGAAAAACAUGCAUUUAGAACUUGGGAGAAUACCUCCUAUGACAUAGGAAUUAACAAAAGGUAUGAAAAUGACUCCAUCAAUGAAAAAUUCAUUUAGAAACGACACACAUAAGAAAGGAAACAAAGUAUUAUAUAAUAGCACCUGAGUUUUUUUACUGGUGAGCUAAGCAGUAUAUCUAGUUGAGAAGAAAAGUCAUCUCUAAAGGUAUCAUUCUUGGGUGUUUUCUCAACUUUUUCAUUUUUAUCAUUAAUUAAAGCAACAACCUCAAUCCCUCCAGAAACAUCAGGUUAUUUUUCAGUCAGAAAAUUUAUAAGAAUUUGGGACUUAAAUAAAAUUCCAGAAGGCUCAACAGCAACAUUGUCACUUUUGAUAGAAGUGUUUGAUGACUCAAUCUUAAUAUCAGUAUCCCUUUUUUACAUGGCACAAAUUUUUUUAAUUCAGACUUCUAUUCAUCUAGCAUAAGAGUUAAAAAAUAAAAAAAGAACAUAAGAAAAGUUUACCACCGCACAAUACAAAAAAAAUAUGAAUUUACACAAUCUAAAAAUACUUAUAUGUAUAUGUAACCUUUUUUGGAGUAGACUCAUCAUUAGCAUCAUAAUCAGAAAGUUCAAACAUAGUAAUAAUGGUAGGAUCAUCACAUACUCUCCUAACUCGGAAAGUGCCAAAAAAAUUUAUCAAGUCCGACACCUUUGGUAUCAACCUUCAGCAGCAACUUUUUUCCAAUGAGCCCUUGGAAUAUGGGAGGAUAAGUAUCCUCACAUAUAAGCUAUUUUCAAGGUAAUAUAUAAGAAAUACACAGAUUGAGUAACACAUAUCAACCAAAAUAGAGAAUAUAGCUAUAAAAAAAUGAACCACAGAAAAGAAAACUAAGAACAUACACUUGCAUAUUUUUUAACCUCAAUAAACAGGUCAGCGCAUGAUUUCUUAAACAAAUAAGAUGCUUCACGAUAAAAGAGAACGAAAAUAUCCUCCCCACUAUGAUCUUCAAGUGUUAUUUUAAUUUUAAAUCUGCAUAAUAAAAACAUGUUUCAAAAUGAAUAAUAACAUAAAACAUUAUGCUUAUAAAAGAUUCACAACACAAAAUGAAAAAACAUUAUAAACAAAUUUUUUUUUACCUCGGAGUGACAUUAGUUAUAUGCUUCACACAGAAAUCACAGUAGUAUGCACCAUUUUGAGGAUAGAUACUCUUUUCACACAUACAAGCAGAAUACUGCCAAUUUCCAUCUUCAAUAAUACCUUUAAUUGUACCGAAAAUGAUAAAAGAACCCUCCUAGGCAAGGAACAUUUUAAAUUUUGUUAACAAUAUGCAUAAAAGAACAUAUCUGAAAUUUGAUUUUUUUUUUUCAUGUUCAUUGGUGUAUAAAAUAAACACAACUAAAUAAAUGCCAACCUCAUUGUUAUUUUGGAGCUCUUCAAUAGUGCAUCUUCUAGUUAAGCGCAUGAAAUCAUCUUCCAAAGAAACUUUACCCUCAUUUGCAAUAAACAAUGGCUAUGUACCUUUGAGCAAAGUUCAUGGAGACAACACUUAGAGUAGCAAUAAGAAAAUGUACAAAAAUUAAACAAUGUAGCCCUAAAAAACUUGACUUUCACAAGUUGCAAGGUAGUCAAAUCGGGCUUCAAUUCGUGAAAACGCACGAUUUCACGUUUUUGCAUCUUCUCUCCGUGUCGGUUUCGCUUCACGUCCAGAACUCACCUGCAUCUUGUGGAAUCGCCGCGUAAAAACGCAGAGCCGUUGGAAUCGCCGAUUUUGUUGCGAUGUUGCAUUCAAGAUGGAAGAAGCUCUUUUCUUGGUCCUGAUUGCAGCCCAUUCCAACCCAAUGGCCCAAUCUAAAUAGAAGACUGUGGAAGAUGGGGAGUCCUAGCAGACUAGCAUUUGAAUUACGAGCGACCAAAAUCUCCAAUUUGGAGUGUCACCGACUCGCCGUAAGGUUUGCUACCGUUACUGUUGAAUCAGACUGGUGGUGGCUAGGCUGUGUAAGCGUCACUUUGCGAUCGUAAUUUACUAGAUUCUAUGGCUCUACCUCUUUGCCUCUGGUUCUAUGACUCUACCUCUCUUGCUCUAGAAUUUGGAUUGCAGUUGCUCUUCUCCUCCCCUUCAAUGGUAGUUCAGAAAUGGAGGCAAAUCAAAGUUGAGUGCAAGUGAAAAUCCGACUAACAAUCUAGCUUCUCAAGCCUAUAAAUUCAUACACUCCAAAUGUUUAUUAUCAGAAGACCAUCACAAAUUCAGUAUCUGUCCUAGAAAUUUGCUGCAUAUCUUAAACUCUCUAAAGAUGGUUCAGUUUGGAAGAUCACUGGUCCACCUUCCAGUGUAGGUAAGAAUAUAUUCUUUUUUCACCUACUGAAAAGUAGAGAAAGAGAUGGAGAAUGAAAGUUUGGGGUUGAAUGAAAAGAAUGUUAUAAAGUAUACAAUUUAAAAGAAGGGGACAAGAUUACCUUAAAGCUGGACUCCCUACCUAACCGCCAGAUAGAGUUGUUGAUUCAAAAAUUUUAGAGCUUAUAAAAAAAGGCUUCCUAUGUAUUACUCUGUGUGACACAUAUUUUGAACUAUAUGUUGAACUGUGUUGGACAUAUUUUGUUUUUUUAUUAAUGGAAAAGUAAUU